GUCUGGUAGAUGCAAAUGAUAUUUCUGGUCCUUUGGACGUGCACGUACAUUCGCAAAAGGCGGAUGAAGCUGAAACUGGAAAAUGAAGCUGGUGAGGAUGUAGCUAGUACUAGUAGUGGUAGAAGAAAAGGAAAAAAGAAAACUAACAGAAGUUGCACCAAAAUGGAUAAAGAAAAAUCCUGUUUAUAAAAACGUGUUACAAACUAUUGAAGAACUUGUUGAGCUUACAUCGCUUCAAUUAUUUGAAAAAUUCUUGGUAGACAAGAUGUAAAAGUCGAGGUAUGGGAUUUUUUAGUACAAGUGGUAUAAUAUUCAGCACAAUUAAAAUAAAUACCUAUAUUGUUUUUCAAAUGUAAAGUAUUAUCCUACUGAACACACUGUUUACAGUACCACCACACCAAUACUCACAAUUACAAUAGGCCCUUUUCCCUAUUUAAACUGUUCUUACAUUUAAAAAUGUCAAUGCUUUCAAAUGCAUUCAACAAUUUAUUAUUGGAUACAUUUUUUAACAAUUCUACAUUAUUCAUAUUUAUUUCAUGAUAAUGACUGCCAGUGAUCGGCAAUACUCGAUUUUUUGGUCCGUCCAUAUUUUAAAUGAGCUAUGUGCCGGACAUCAACGCAUCUCUUAGUCUGCCCGACAUCUUCCCGUCACAAUAAUUACAGCUAAUUUCAAAUAUACCACUUUUUCUAAAUUGUGUAUUGUAUCCCAAGGAUAAACAAGAAUUGUUUUAAUGUAUAGUUGGAUUUAUAAACCAAUUUAAAACCCACUCUGUUGAAAAUUCCUUCCGAUCCCUUUGUAUAAACAGAAAUAAAAGGUGACAGAGCAAAUAUUUCUGACCUUUGCAAACUUACAACCUCCAGGAAUUACUGAUGAUUCAGUUUUGUGAAUAAAUUGUAGUUCGACUGAUGCUACCAACACUUUAGUAAAGAACAUUCUGUUUUCUAACGUUUAUUUUGAGGGGGUGAAUCGACCGACAAACUUGUUGAUAUCGGUCGGAUGAGAAUCAACGCUGCGCUGGCUGGAUGAGGAAGUUUAUAUUAUAUUCAACACCCUGAAGAAUAUUGUUUGAUGAAACCCCCAAUAGAGUAUGGUAUUUGGAAAAUUUGUACGAAAAAUUAGUUCCUCUAUUGGCUAAUUUGCUUCCCAAGCACUUACAUGUUGAUUUUCAAAAUAGAGACAUAUUGUUUCAACAAGAUGUUAUUUCUUCCCAUUUCCCAAAGUCUGUUUUUGAGUAUUUCAAGGCAGUUGGAUAUAUGCAAAAAGGAAGCUACUGAAUGGUUUGCUUUUCAUGAGCAUACUUGAAAAGCAAAGUUUGCAAGACUAAACCAACACAUGUUAAGGACCAAAAGCACCUAUUAGGAAUGAGUAUUUAUUGAUUUAAUUCAAAUCAUAACAAAUGAAAACGAAUUUCUAUCGUUUUUAAGAUAUUGUCAAAUAUUCAAUGAACAAUAAAAUAAGCAUUUCUUUAAUUCAAAAAUUAAAUUCAAUUUCUGAAUUAUAGGUACUUUUUUUCCAUAUCUUCACAUUUUAUUAUCUCGAAAAUGACAAGGAAGAAAAAUUUGAUAUUCAGUUGCCCUAUUUCAACCAUAAAAACGACAUUUUUGUCAUUUAACAACGUAUAUAAUUUAUUCCAAAUUACAGGACCUCUUUAUAAAUCUAAUGAAUGUGGUACAUAAUUAUUUUAAUAUUCAUACUAAAAGCAGCAUUUUCAUAUUAUCUAUACCCCAAAAUAUUUCAUAAAAUUCGUAAACGCUUGGAAUACUGAAGGCAAACUGAGCUCGCAAACAACGCAAAGUCGGGAAAUUGCAUUUAGAAAAUGCCAAAAUUAGAUGCUUGUUGGUUAAUUACGAGGAUGUCUUGUUAACCUAGACCAGUUCCAUGCAUAAACAAAAUAUUGCGUUACCAUUCGACAUUACUGACCACUCUACGGGAAAAAAUUAAAGAGAAAAAAAAUUCGUGAUUUAGGGUUUGAAUUACUAGAGCACCCCCCUUAUUCACCAGAUUUGGUUCCGUCCGACUAUCAUCUCUUUCCUCAACUGAAAAAAGUUUAAAAGGUCGUAAAUUAUCUUCUAACGAGGAGGUAAUAAAAGCUGUGGAGGUCUGGUUUGCAGAGCAAGAAGAAAUAUUUUUUUAAAGGUCUAGAGACGUUGCAGGUUCGCUGUAAUAAAUGUAUCCAAUUAAGAGGAGAAUAUGUUGAGUAAUAAAAUAUUUUGACAUUGAAAUAAUUUUGUUUGGUUCUAUAGUAGGCUAAGAAUUUUUAAUAUAUUCUCGUAAGUGCCAAGCUCAGAAAUUAGGUGCUCUGUCACAGCAACUAGAUACUUAAAGUUGCGUUGUUAGGAAAAUGUGAUGCUAGCAACGAAAAUUAACAAUACAUUAAUUGUUAAGUUAUUGAAUUGAAAAGAGGUGUUAUGAAAGUAUGUAUGAAAAUAGUAAUAGUAAGGAAAAAAAGGUAUUACGAUAGUUGGAGCCGUCUGAGAUAUAACGUUAACGAGAAAGAUGUAUUAUGAAAAUUGAUUUAAAAAGAGGUAUAAUGAAAAUAGAUACCGUUCGAUUUAUGAACUUGACGAAAAAGAUGUAUUAUGAAAAUUGAAUUGACAAGAGGUAUUAUGAAAGUAGAAGGUUAGGUUAGGUUAGGUUAGGUUAGGUUACAUUAGAUUCGGUUAGAUGAAAGUACGAGAAAUAACAUUAAUGAAAAAGUAGUGGGUUAGGUUAGGUUACGUUAGGUGUAAUGAAAGUAGAAGCCGUCCGAGAUGUAACAUAUAAUGAAUAUAUUACAUAUAUUGAAAAUAAAAAAAAUAACUCAUUUAUUAUUUGGGCACUUCCACAAUAUUGACUCUUCAGCAACUAAUAAGCACCUUAUUUUAUUCGCGUUUUUACAGCACUGCAACUUUGAGUUUUCCGGUAGUGUGAAAAUUACAGAUUACAUAAUGUUUGAACUUGGCACCUAAUUUUGCCAUUUUCUAAAUGUAAUUUCCCGACUUUGCGUUACUGGCGAGACGGAGCUGGCAACUGUCAGACAGUAUAAUUGAGUGUUAAUGUAAUGAUAGCGUAUACAGGUUGUUUUUUUAUGAAUACCACCAACAGUUUCAGAAUUCUAACUAAAAAUUUUCAUUGUCUUGUAUGACAGAGUGAUCUUCAUUUCUGUCAACGGUAAUUGGUUAUCGAAAGGCGCGUCAGAUAAUUUAAAUAUGUUUUUGGAUUUGUUAGUGUAGUAGUAGUAAACAGUGUGUUCAGUAUGAAUAUAACCAAUGUUUGCAAGAAUUCCAACUUACUUGGGCAUAGCAUGGGGAAAACCUACCCUAGUUAAAUGUACCGAGAAAGCAGGCACCCGUCCGGGCAUUAGAUUUUACAGAGAUGGAAAGUGAAAAACUGAUCUCCAUGAAACCGUCUCUAGUGAGCUGUAGCAUAUCUAUCCACAAUAGAUCGUUCUUUUUUAAUUAUUUGUGAAAUGACCUCAAGUUCAAGCCUAAAAAAUAACUGCAGUUGAGAUCCAAUCUUUUGAACCUUCACACUUCCUUUGGGAAUUUCGGUAUCUUUGUUUAAUGAAUCUUCUAUAAAAAAAUUGACCUACCUGUUAAUGAUAUGCGUUAUUAUUGUAACUUGCUUUCAAGUGGUUAUAGUGAAAACUUAUUUGUAAAAACCGACCACAGCAAUUUAUUAAGUUUGCUAUUUGGAGCAUGGAAACUGUUUUACUUCGAAUAGUGCAAAUAUUACAUAAUUUCCUCUGGUAUAUAUGAAUUUUCUUCCAAAUCAAAAAAGUAAUUGAACAAGAAAUAGGAAGUUAUUUUUGAACUAGUUUUCAAUACACAAAGGUGUUCCAAAGAAAAAUGACCCCAAAUUAGGAGGUGAUUGCUCGUAUGAAAUUGAGAUGGGUUUUUCAUAUAACAAAAGUUCACCCCCUUCCGAAAUAUCACCAUUAAAAGGUGGUGACUAAAAUUGGGAUUUUUUUUUGUAAGUAAUGCUAGAAACUUAAAAUUCUGUAAUUUUCGUGCACUCGCAAAAGAAUAACAACAAAUAUUUUUUCAAUAUUGAUUUCCAGCUUUUGUAUUAUUACAUUUUACAUCUUUAGUGUCUUCCACUCAAUUUAUUAAAAAAAUUAUAAAUUAUGGUGUUUAUUUUUUUUUCUCUGCAGCUAUUGAUUUCGGGAAAAAAUUCAAGAAUAAAAAUAUUUUUAGAUGGAAGAAGGAUUUUAAGUUAUAAUUUCAUUUCAUAAAACUUUAUGUUGAAAAAAGUUUUUAUUAGAAUAUUGAAAAAUAUCGGUCUUUUGCGAGUGCACGAAAAUUAAAGAACUUCAAUUGUUUAGCUUUACUGAAAUUUAAAAAAAAAUAAAAACUCAAUUUUAGUCAGCAACUUUCGAGCGUGAUAUCUCGAAAAGGGGUGAUCUAAGGAAAUUUUGUUAUAGAAAAGACCCAUCUCAAUUCCAUACGAAGCAAUCAUCUACUGAAUUUUGUCGUAAGAAUUUGAAAACACCCUGUACAUAUGGCAACAUUGUAAUAAAACAUCUUUUGGAAGCUUAUAAAUUCCAUGAAUCUGUUUUUAUAUCUUACUAUCAUAUACGACGCUAGUUGCACGUUCGUACCAAAUAGUAUUGAACAUAACAUUUUUAAGGUUAUGUCAAUAUCAAGAAGUCAAGUGAACUUGAACAUUAUUCAAUUUUAUACCAAAAAGGUGUUGUCGGUAAAACUUGAUACUAUGAACUGUUUUCGAAAUUUUGUAAUUGGACUACACAGUUUGGUAUUCUUGAGGCAUAAGGUUUAAGGCUGAUCCCAACAGUUUAGAAUAAUAAUGGAUUCUGUAGAAAAAAAGAUCGACUUGUGUAUUCGCUAAAAAGGAGACUUGAACACUACCAUUACUUUAAAUAUCAUCACUUUAUACCAGAAUCUGUUAUUACUUCAUAAUUUUCAAAUCAGAAUAUCCGAAAACGGUACACAGUAUCGAGUUUUACCGAUAGUACCUUUUUGGAGUGUUGAAUGUAACAACAUGUUACAUUCAACACUUUCAUACGAAACUGUGUAAAUAGCUCUCUUUAUGAGAUUGAUAAAAAAAUAUUUUUUUGGAUGUUGCAGCUUCCAAAAUAUAUUUGCAUGAAAUUACAUUAUAAUGGCAUAAUCAUAAAAAAUGCAUAAACAUUUUCUCCUCAAUGACCUUUUUCUUGAAUACGGAUAGAAUUAAGAAAAUUUUUUACUCAGCAAACCACAAUUUUUGUCUAGUUUUCUACCUAUCCUUGAGACGUCAACUAUUUUUGAAACACCUUUUACAAUAAGAUAGUUUUUCUCAAAACAGAUAUUUUUAAUAGUUUUGCAAAAAGUUUUUUGAAUUGUCUUAUGAACAGUUCCCAUAUCAACAUUCCAAAAAAAUAAUUUUCUUUUUGGUCCAGGGAAUACUAACCAGAUUCUAUGAAUCCAUAAAACUUCUUUCCCAUUUUCGAAUGUUAAAUAUUAUAUUGGUAAUAUAACAAGAGAUAAUAAAAUUAACUAUCAAUAUUUGUAUCAAGUUAUUCUCGAUAUAGUAACUAUAGCAUGUGAGUAUAUCUAUGAGAGUUCCACGAGCUCAGAACGUGUUGUCAUAUGAGUGCUAUUUGAGUUGUUUACAGAUACUUGAAACAUUUAUCUUGGUCAAAUACUCGCUUCGACUUUUGGCGAUGUAGCACCAUCUCAAGCCACCGUGUUUCGCUGUUCUUCUGAAUUUAAUCGUGGUCGCACUUCGCUACAGGAUGAAUUUCGUGAAGAUCGUCCAAAAUCGGCUAUUGUACCAGAAAACAUGAUGAUGAGAAAGGUUUGUUGGAGUUGGCACUAAUAUAAAAGCUGCUCCUCUGCAAGGUUAUGGUUGUGUGGUUGCGUGUGAUUGCACUGUCCUGGCUGAAAUGGAGGAAAAACGGACGAUUAAUGGCCAGAAGAAGACGAAGAGAAGUCCGUUUUAAGUGAAAACGGUUUUUUCGGUUUAAGGAUAUAUUUUAACAAUGGAAACAAGCAAAUGCUCAGCAAGAAAUGAUUUAUAGGCUGAAAAGUGCCUGUAAAUAAACAAAAAAUACAGCGAGAAGCACAAAAAACAUCAAUAUAAAAAAGACCGAACUGAAAUUGUUACGCAAGAAAACAGUAAGAGCAAACGGUGAUGUUGAAAACCUCGAACUGCUAAACUUUUCCCUUUGUAUGGUACCCUCCUAGUUCGUGAGUACACUUUACAAUGUGGAAGAAGUUUUUAUGAUAAUGGCAAUAACAUCAGUAGAGUAGAUGAGUAUUUGAUUAACUUUUUGUAUAUGAUGAUGAAGAUAAUAAUUUUCUAUGAGAACACAGAUUUUAUUCAGUAGAUAUUGAUGAUUUGCAUCCAUAUCUAAUAUGAGUAAAUAAGAUUUUGAUAACUAUCACAUAUUACUUAUGUGGUACAUAUUUAUACAGCCACUUUUUUAUUAUUUCAGGCGUAUUUUUCACCAAACAUACUUUCGAUGUGAUGUAAGUUUCUUCUAUAUUUCUCAAUUGAAGUUAAAAACACACAUUUACGUUAUUAAAAUUCUAAAACAACAAUAAUUCAAUAUGAUUGCACAAGUCAUUUAGACAAUCAUAUCACAAAUAUGAUAAACUUGUCACAUGAAGACAAUAACAAAUUACUUAUAUGAAAAAACGAUUAAAACUUUUUUCACAUCACAAGAGCACAUUUUGAAUUGGAGUAUUAAAAUUAAAAUUGGUAAAUAUGUAUAAGCAGUUCAAUUACUGACUAUGAUAUUAUAGUGGUUAAAUAUAUAACAUAUUUAAUCAUUCUAUAAAAAACAUGAAAAGUAUUUUUCUGCCUUUUCUUUAAUUGUUAUAACUAAGGGAAACACUUAUUUAAAAAUUUUUAAAAAUAAUUUAAUUACAUGAUAAUUGUAAAUCAAGACCUAAAGGAAUAAAUAGGACUUUUGGAAAUUGAUUUAUUCAGAACAAGAUCUAUUUAAAAUUCUCCAUGUUAAAUAUAACUAGCUAAUUCAACAUGUCAUGUAUGUAAUUUAUUUGGUAAAUAGUUCCUAAAUCUAAUAAAAUUUAUUGAGAUCACAAGAUAAAUUUUUAUUAAUUUAUACUAAUCACUUUGCGCACUUCUAUCCAACUAACUUACAUUGAAAAUUUCUCUAGAUAACAAUAUAAGGUAUCUAUCCUCUCAGAUACUUAAUUGCAAAAUAUAAUUGAAUGAAUAAUUGAUACAAUAGUACCAAUGUUGGAUAAAUGUAAUUAAGUACAAUAUAGGAGGGAUCUACCAUUAUGUUGUUUAUUUAACAUUAAGUUUGUACUUGAUUAUAUUUAAGGUUGAUCCUUUACAUCUUAGAUAAUUUUUUUCAUGUAAUGCAGUUCCAGUUACAUAAUAAAUUAUAAAAACAUAGUAUUUAAAACCAAACACGAUUUCACUGCGGCUCUUUUUGCACCAGGUAUCUAGAUAUUCCACAAAAGUCAAUGUAAUUUAUGAAGUCUCUAACAUUACUAUUUAUUUAUAUCAUAAUGUUAACAUUUAUAAAAACAAUUGAAUACGAAAUUUGUGCUGAACUUGUAAAAUUUCAAAUAAUCAUGACUUACCCACCUCUUGACAAUAGACGUUUUUAAACAAGUUGAACCUGUCCAUUCCAAUUACAACUACUGAACACUCGUUUAAAAGUUUGUUUUUAAAAUCAAGCAAAAUGAAAUUACAAAACUUUUUAUUGUAUGUAUUCAAUUAUUUUAUUCAUCACAUACACCAUGCGAUUACACUCAGGCGGUUGGCGGUGACGUUGACGUUAAUAGACGUAAGCGUGACAUUUUCCAA